UGAUAGUGCAGAGCUGUCUUAAAAGUACAUUUGAAGAAAUGACUUGACUUGCUCGUCGCGUAACUCGAAAACUUGGCGCCAUUAAAUUUCUGGAAACUUUGCGAGGGGAUGUAUUUCUUAAUUAAGUGCGAGCAAAAUUAUGUAUUGCAUAAAAAAAAAAAUUAAAAUAGUGGAAGGAAGUAAAAUGUGCAUUGCAAAAUUUAGCAAAGGCAGUACCGAAGCGGAGAUUAUUGAUUCGCGAGAAGAUCGUGAAAUACUGGACCAGCAAUGUCAAUAACUUAAUAAGGACUUACAAGAAGCAGCCACUAAGUUAAAUGAAAGUGAAGCAACAACGAACGAUGAUAUAUCCGGUAAGAACAAUACUAAAGUGCCUUUGAAAUAAAUUUAUGAGCAUUGUCCUUUAAAAGAGGCGCCAUUAGCAGCUUAUAAGUCAUAUACUGACACAACAAAUAAAAGCAACCUGGGACAAUUUGAAGCUUUCGGUAUGUGUGCAAUUAUUAAAACUAAGCCAGGACUAAAUAAAAAAUCAUUUGUAUUACACUUCUGACAGAGUUAUGUUUUGUAAUGUAUUUAUUAUUAUAUGUUAAGUUUUAAAUAUGCAUAAUUGUGAGUACCACAGUUUUAAGGCCAGAGACGGAAAAUAUCAAAAGAUUUAUAGCCUUAUUAGUUGCUGAAAACAAUUUAAUUAUCAUUUGUAUUAUGAGUUAAUCAUAUAUGCAAAAUCAGAUUAAUUUAUUAUAAAAAGCUACACAAAAGACACAAUCGGUCAUUACUUUUCUAGGAAUAGUGUAUUCUCUUGUACGCUAUAUGCCUCCGGACGUACAAACCUUUUUUAGUAUUCAGAAAGUUUUUGAUAAUUUGUAUUUUAACUAAAGCUAACAUUGUAUACUGAUAA